UACGGGGGGGGCAAGCGUUGUUCGGAAUUACUGGGCGUAAAGGGCGCGUAGGCGGCCUGCUAAGUCGAACGUGAAAUCCCCGAGCUCAACUCGGGAACUGCGUCCGAUACUGGCAGGCUUGAAUCCGGAAGAGGGAUGCGGAAUUCCAGGUGUAGCGGUGAAAUGCGUAGAUAUCUGGAGGAACACCGGUGGCGAAGGCGGCAUCCUGGACCGGCAUUGACGCUGAGGCGCGAAAGCCAGGGGAGCAAACGGG
rnacentral:rRNA from 1 species